UACGGGAGGCAGCAGUAGGGAAUCUUCCGCAAUGGACGAAAGUCUGACGGAGCAACGCCGCGUGAACGAUGAAGGCUUUCGGGUCGUAAAGUUCUGUUGUUAGGGAAGAACAAGUACCGGAGUAACUGCCGGUACCUUGACGGUACCUAACCAGAAAGCCACGGCUAACUACGUGCCAGCAGCCGCGGUAAUACGUAGGUGGCAAGCGUUGUCCGGAAUUAUUGGGCGUAAAGCGCGUGCAGGCGGUCCUUUAAGUCUGAUGUGAAAGCCCACGGCUCAACCGUGGAGGGUCAUUGGAAACUGGGGGACUUGAGUGCAGAAGAGGAGAGUGGAAUUCCACGUGUAGCGGUGAAAUGCGUAGAGAUGUGGAGGAACACCAGUGGCGAAGGCGACGUCUCUGGUCUGUAACUGACGCUGAGGCGCGAAGGGCGUGGGGAGCGAAACAGGGGAUUAGAUACCCGU
rnacentral:rRNA from 1 species